UCUCUUUUGAAUGUCCGUAGCAAAGCACAGCCGCAUGAAGCUUACUGAUACAUUAAACAAGACACAUUUCUACUCUUGAAGGUAUUGCUACCCCUGCAAACUAUUGAUUGAAUGCAAUCUGAUCCAGCAAGCGUGGUGUGCGCUUUAAAUAGCGUACGGCAUUGUUUUACCUUGGCUGUAAAUAAUGUUUCUAUACUGCUAACGUAUUAGUAGCAAUUACGUUGUAUCAUUCUGCGUGUGGGGAAGUGCUAAUCAGCAGAAAACGAAUGCACGAUGCAAAUAUCUUACUGCUUUUGAUGAAAUAUUGCAAUGAUGGUGUAGUUUCAAAAGCGCAAUAAAGAGCGUUAUCCCUUUUUCACAUACGUAGCAACCUGUCAUAUUAUUGUCAUAAACAUAUUACUUUUACUCUCUCGUAGGCGCUGCCGGUUAUGUCGGAGUAGCACAAUAAUUGCAAAAGGGUGCAUUUCGCAGUUAGCCAUUACAGUGCAUCGAGCUGAAAUUAGUUGUCAUAUGUGUACUCGGAUGACUAUGCAAGGUGCCCUCUUCUGUCAUGUGGUAGUAUGUAAUGCUUCAGAGAGCAAGGAAAGGACACAGGCUGUACAGGAGACAGAAUAUCCCACACUUCAUUGGGCAAAUGCUUUAAAAGAAACGGAGGGGGUUAGCAUCAAGACUAUGUUUUGAACCUCUGCCUACGUCACAUUUUCUCUUUCUUUGAUAUUUGGCUAAUUCCAAGUGGAAUCACGGGGCGCGAGCUUGUUUACCUUACUAAGCAUUUUAUUAGUUUCCUGUAGACCCCUGCUUUUUUGCUUCUCUCUGCAAACCGGACUCUAGGUGCAUCUUACACCUGAUAGGAAUGACUGUGUAGCAGGCAAAAGCUGCAGGGGUGAGCGAGCGCACAGCACGCCCGACAGAUGUCUCGAGUCAUUGAUAUUGCCAGCACGUGGGUACCGUUCGCUGUUCUCCCUUACCUCUCUCGUGCUCUCCUGGUGAGGAAACAGGAGGUACUUUGCAGCCAACAAUGAAAUCUUGGCAGCUAAUUGCAGUCGUGGGAGAUGCCCUUCAGGUAAGGCAGAAGGGGAAGGUUUAAACAAUUUUAAGUGUGGUGAACUGAGGGGACACAAAGAGGAAAGGCAGUUUUUUUGCGAGCAAGGCAAAGCUGAGGCAUACAACCCAACCCACACUAUUCAGUGAUGCUUUCGGAAGCAAAUUGACACCGCUUGGCCACUGUUAUUUUUUGUGCCUUCAUUUCUCACGUUAAUGAAGAAAGGAUUCCAAGGCAGAGUGCAGUAGCUGUUCAGACAAAGAGAACAACUUGGAAAGCUUAUCUUCAUUUCAGAGUUCUGAAGAUAUACAACAAAUGAUUCCAAGGCAACAGAUGAGUUGUGACCGAGAACAAGUAAGAGUAA